GGGUUGUGAGGUUAAGCGACUAAGCGUACACGGUGGAUGCCCUGGCAGUCAGAGGCGAUGAAGGACGUGCUAAUCUGCGAUAAGCGUCGGUGAGGUGAUAUGAACCGUUAUAACCGGCGAUUUCCGAAUGGGGAAACCCAGUGUGUUUCGACACACUAUCAUUAACUGAAUCCAUAGGUUAAUGAGGCGAACCGGGGGAACUGAAACAUCUAAGUACCCCGAGGAAAAGAAAUCAACCGAGAUUCCCCCAGUAGCGGCGAGCGAACGGGGAGGAGCCCAGAGCCUGAAUCAGUGUGUGUGUUAGUGGAAGCGUCUGGAAAGGCGCGCGAUACAGGGUGACAGCCCCGUACACAAAAAUGCACAUAUUGUGAGCUCGAUGAGUAGGGCGGGACACGUGGUAUCCUGUCUGAAUAUGGGGGGACCAUCCUCCAAGGCUAAAUACUCCUGACUGACCGAUAGUGAACCAGUACCGUGAGGGAAAGGCGAAAAGAACCCCGGCGAGGGGAGUGAAAAAGAACCUGAAACCGUGUACGUACAAGCAGUGGGAGCCUCUUAAUGGGGUGACUGCGUACCUUUUGUAUAAUGGGUCAGCGACUUAUAUUCUGUAGCAAGGUUAACCGAAUAGGGGAGCCGAAGGGAAACCGAGUCUUAACUGGGCGUUAAGUUGCAGGGUAUAGACCCGAAACCCGGUGAUCUAGCCAUGGGCAGGUUGAAGGUUGGGUAACACUAACUGGAGGACCGAACCGACUAAUGUUGAAAAAUUAGCGGAUGACUUGUGGCUGGGGGUGAAAGGCCAAUCAAACCGGGAGAUAGCUGGUUCUCCCCGAAAGCUAUUUAGGUAGCGCCUCGUGAAUUCAUCUCCGGGGG
rnacentral:rRNA from 1 species